AAACAUUGCUCUACUAGUGUCCUGUGGCAACAUGCUUGGGAAGGUGACUGUGGGAACAGACUGAGGGAGAGAAUAAACACAGCCAUUAGGAGGGUCCAGAGGAGAUGGAUGUGACUUACUUUCUUGAUGGGGCCCCUCAGGACACCAUGUAACACCCUCCUGCCACCAUGAUUAGUGCUAUUAUGACAUGAGCCGAGAAGAUGUAACUGGUGAGGAACUCUGACCGUGGCAGGAACAUCUGAUUCUCCCUGAGCUUCAGCAGGACAUUGUUAGCUCCACCAUGACCCACGCAGUGAGGGUCCUCACUCCACUCUGGGCAGGAAACUGAUAACGUCGUCCUCCAUCAUUGGUCGGGGGAAAGGAGAGAGGGGCUGAGGAUGAGCCAACAGACAAGUCCUGUUCCCUGAUGAGAAUUAGGAAGGAAUGAGGGAGAAAUAAUCCUUCUACCCAGUAGACUUUCAAGUUAUUUCUUCUCUGGAAAAGCAACUAUAGUUUUGUGCUGGGUGAAUACACCCAAAACAAUGGACAGAAAUAAUAAAGUUAUUGAGAGACCAUACUGGUAACAACAAUGGAAGUUGUGGAUGCUACAUUUCUUGAUAUUUAAGCACUUGAUAUUUUGU